CCCGGGAGGGGUGUCCGUGCCCGCUGGUGCCUCCCCUCCGUCCGCCCGGGAACAAGGAAGCAGCUCCAACUACCUCCAGCCAUCACUCGGCAGCGUAGUUCCCUGCUGGCACCUUCCCCACGCCCUGCGUCCUCGGGUCCCUCACCUUGCAAGGCCUUGGGGCGCUGCCUUUGGACAUGACUCGGGGCACGGCAGGGCUGCCCCUGCUGCUGCUGAGCCUCGCUGUGCUGGAUCUCUCACUGGAGACCACAGCACCACUGUCCAACACCAGCUCAAGCACUGCAGCCACCUUCCCUUCCUCUCAUCCUGCAACCUCCAUCCCAGAGAUGCCAAUGGAUGCCUUCACAUCCAGUGCUUCUACAGCUCAGCAGAGCAGCCUGGCAGCCUCCAACAUCACCACACCACAGGCAAGGGGCAGCAGAGCUGACAGCACUCCUGUGUCACCUGCGCUGGCACCCAGCACCAGCACACCCCCAGCAGGGCUGGAAACCAUCACCAGCACAACCUCAGCAGGGCUGGAAACCAUCACCAGCACAACCUCAGCAGGGCUGGCACCCACCACCAGCAGCCCCCAAACAGGGCUGGGACCCAGCACCACCCCAGCAGGGCUGGGACCCAGCACCACCAGCACACCAACUCCAACCUCCAUGACACCCAGCUGUGACAAGAGUACCAGUGUCACGUCUGUGGGGACCAGCACAGCCCUGGCUGCCAGCUCAUUUGGAGUUGACAUGAGCAUGCUGCCUCCCUCCACCUCUGCUGUUCUCUCCUCCACUGGGGUGGGCACCACGCUUGGCACCAGCCCCCACCAAGAGCCAGCCAUGACCACACUGCUUGGCAGCACAUCCCCAGGGACCAGCACCACCUCUUCUUCCACCACCCCAGAAGUGACAGACACUUCAGAUGGGCCCUUGACGACCCCAUCAGACACCAUGACCUCCCUUGUUACCACCACAGAGGUUCCUGGGACCACCCCUGGUACUUCCACCCCAACAGAACCAGAGACCCCCAGUGACACUGCAGAGACCACUGCCCUGGGUGUGACAGCAACUGUGUCCCCAGCUCUCCCUACCUCCUCAACACCCAUGGAGAGCUCAACGCUGCUGCCUACCACUGACUCCACCACCACAGCCACCCUCCUUUCCUCCAACCCUGAAACAGAAGCCUCCACCCCAGAGGAGUACAGCACAUCCACAGAGACUGGCAGCACCUCACCUCCCACUGUGCUUCCUCCCACCACAACUACAGAGGAUUCAUCUGAAUCUACAGAAGAGACCUUGGCAACCCUGGCAGACACCACAGCCAGCCCUGUUAUCAGCACAUCAGACCCCAUGAGAACUCCCUCUUCAAGCUACCCAGACAGGACCACUCCUGACAUCUUCCCCUCAACUGUGGAGUCGACUCCAGGCACUGAGCCCUCUUCCCCUGCCACCAGCUCAGCCCAGACCUCAGAGGCUGCUACCCUCAGCACCCCUGCAGCACUGCCAACGCUGCUGCCAGCCUGCCCCUCUGGCUCACCCAACACCACCCCAGGUGCAACUCACCUCUUUCUGUCGCUGAGGCUAAGCACCCCUCUGGACCUGGGGAACACCACGGUGCAGGAGCUGCUGUUGUCCAAGCUCCGUGAGGACCUGCAGACAGCAUUCCCCUGCGCUGGCCUGUCACUGGCGUGGCGAGGGAAGAGGAGGACUUGACUGCUGCCCCUCACCUGGACUGCCAAGCCACCUGCUCCCAGCUCCUCACUCCACGGUGGUGCAGGCCCCUGGGGAACCCCAUACAGCUCCUCUUGAACCUGGGGCUUCCUGUCCUUCACUCUGUACCCCCAGUCCCCUCCUGCCCCUUCCCACAGCCUGUCUGAAGAGCCUGAGCCCUCCCACCACCCUGCUCCAGACCUGGUUCCCCCUCCAGCUCUGCUGGGGGGCUGGGAGAAGGGAACCCCAUGGGACUGGGCUUUUACAUCUGGGACUGAGCUGCCUCAGCCAUCAAAGCCACCCUGGGGACAGGAAUGAGAGGAAGGAGACCUGAAGCCCUCAGUACUGCUGUGCCCGAGGCUCACCUGUGGUAUUGCUGACAGAGGAGAACACCCAUGCCGGGCAGUAAAUAGAAAUUCCAUGUUUUCUGUGUUGAAGUGGUGACUUCUUUAUUUUC
ensembl:lncRNA